UGGGAAUAUUGGACAAUGGGCGCAAGCCUGAUCCAGCCAUGCCGCGUGAGUGAUGAAGGCCCUAGGGUUGUAAAGCUCUUUUGUGCGGGAAGAUAAUGACGGUACCGCAAGAAUAAGCCCCGGCUAACUUCGUGCCAGCAGCCGCGGUAAUACGAAGGGGGCGUAGCGUUGCUCGGAAUCACUGGGCGUAAAGGGUGCGUAGGCGGGUCUUUAAGUCAGGGGUGAAAUCCUGGAGCUCAACUCCAGAACUGCCUUUGAUACUGAAGAUCUUGAGUUCGGGAGAGGUGAGUGGAACUGCGAGUGUAGAGGUGAAAUUCGUAGAUAUUCGCAAGAACACCAGUGGCGAAGGCGGCUCACUGGCCCGAUACUGACGCUGAGGCACGAAAGCGUGGGGAGCAAA
rnacentral:rRNA from 1 species